rnacentral:rRNA from 1 species
UACGUAGGGAGCAAGCGUUGUCCGGAAUCAUUGGGCGUAAAGCGCGCGUAGGCGGCCCGAUAAGUCCGCUGUGAAAGUCAACGGCUCAACUGUUGGAUGCCGGUGGAUACUGUCGGGCUAGAGUACGGAAGAGGCAAGUGGAAUUCCUGGUGUAGCGGUGGAAUGCGCAGAUAUCAGGAGGAACACCUAUAGCGAAGGCAGCUUGCUGGGACGUUACUGACACUAGGGCGCGAAAGCGUGGGGAGCGAACAGG